CAGGCUGCAACUCGCCUGCAUGAAGUCGGAAUUGCUAGUAAUCGCAGAUCAGCAUGCUGUGGUGAAUACGUUCCCGGGCCUUGUACACACCGCCCGUCACACCAUGGGAGUCGGUAACACCCAAAGCUGGUAGUCUAACCGCAAGGAGGACGCCGCCUAAGGUGGGAUUGAUGACUGGGGUGAAGUCGUAACAAGGUAUC
rnacentral:rRNA from 1 species